ensembl:lncRNA
ACCCCGGGCGGGGAGGGGGGGCUCUUGGGAAGAGGAAGCGGAGGGCCGGAGGGAGCGGACGCGCGGUGGGAGUGAGGCGGGAGCGUGUGCACGCGGGACGCCUUCCCUGCGCCUUACUCCUGGUCCGAUCCGUGGAACCCGGGGAGAGGACUCCGGUGCCCGCUGUCACCUGGAAGCCACUUUUUCCUGCCUUCUUUCCCCCCUGAUCCGGGUAGCGGGUAGGAGCUGAGAAAUCGGAGUUGGCUGCAGCCGAGGGUAGGCAGAGAGCGAACAGUUAAGUCGCUGCCGUCCCUUGGGUGCCAGCAGCUCUAACUUGAUUUGAUGCUCCCCGUAGCCCUGCGAAGAGGCAUCAUUACCCCCCCCCCCGUUUUACUGAUGAGGGUGCCCACACCGGGAUGAGAAAUGACUCGCCCUGGGGCAAGCCACUGGAAAGGAGACGCCAGUGGGGGACUCGGAAGCCCCCACGCUUCUCCCUCUUCUCCUGCUCCCUCUCUGUCCAUCGCGCGCGGAUCUAGGAAACUCGCGCUGCUGGGUCUGUUAGGGAAACAGCGCUUUCUUUCGAUGCAGAACGAGCCCCAGGCACCCCAGCAGGCCGCAGGCUUCUCUUUCGCGGUGGAUGAGGUCGCCUGCAGAUCCAGGCUGGGCCUUAUGGGCUGCCCAGGCGGAGCGGGACUUCCCGGUCAUCGUCAUCCUCCGCUCCCCCAGCUCAGCCUGGCCCGAGUUCGGCUUCCCCAGCCCCUGUCCACCGCCCACCUGCUGAGGAGCAGCAGAGUGCUGUGUCACUCAGGAGUUGGGGACCCCUGACGCAACCCAACCGCCCUCGUGCGCUGUGCAGAAAGUGAGAACUUCACUGCACCCCAAUCCUGACCAGUUGGAGUUGUUCAUUUUCUUCUGUUGGAACGCUUCUAGAGACUGAACUGUUACCUCGGGUGCGUUUGACCUCUUUCUUCUUGUCCCCUUCCUUGACCAGCUCUCCUUAAUUAGUAUCAGCAUCAUAAAAGGUCAGAGUUUACUUUCGUUAUUUAUAGACCUUAAUGUUUUUGUGCUUCUUGGUUUUAAUUUCAAAAAGGCACGUAUUAAGAUCUAUUGCCGUUAGGUCCUGGCUUUCCUUCUUAACAUGGUGGAAUUAUUUUCUUCUUCCAUGUCUUCUUUUUUAAUUUUUUUUUAACAUUUAUUUAUUUUUGAGACAGAGAGAGACAGAGCAUGAACGAGGGAGGGUCAGAGAGAGAGGGAGACACAGAAUCCGAAAUAGGCUCCAGGCUCUGAGCUGUCAGCACAGAGCCUGACGCGGGGCUCAAACUCACGAACAGUGAGAUCGUGACCUGAGCUGAAGUUGGACACUUAACCGACUGAGCCACCCAGGCGCCCCUUCUUCCAUGUCUUCUUAACUUGUGUUUUUCUACUUAAAAACAUUCAUGGUCGGGUCCACAAGGAAGUCUUCCCUUUCAGGAAAGGCAUCCAUAUUCAAGGGAGAGACUUUCUGUCUCUGCUAAGAGACUCUCAUCCCUGCUAAAAUGUUUGCCGGGUUCUUUAGUAGACUCUGGGUGAGGAAGUCUUGGUGUGUGUUUGGGUCACAUAGCAAAAUGGCAGAUUAGGGGCAUCUGGGUGGCUCAAUCGGUUGAGCGUCCGACUUCAGCUUGGUCACGAUCUCAUGGUUUGUGAGUACGAGCCCCACUUCAGGUUCACUGCUGUCAGACUGUCCGUGCAGAGCCCGCCUUCGGAUCCUCUGUCCCCCUCUCUGCGCCCUUCCCCACCUUGUGCUCUCCCAAAAGAAUAAGUAUUUUUUUUAAGUGGCAGAUUAAAUGUAAAUGGACUAAGAUCUCCAAUCAGAGAUCAGCA